rnacentral:rRNA from 1 species
UGGGGAAUAUUGGGCAAUGGGCGAAAGCCUGACCCAGCCACGCCGCGUGAGUGAUGAAGGCCUUCGGGUCGUAAAGCUCUGUGGGGAGGGACGAACAAGCUCGGUGUUAAUAACACCGGGCCCUGACGGUACCUCCUUAGCAAGCACCGGCUAACCCUGUGCCAGCAGCCGCGGUAAUACAGGGGGUGCAAACGUUGCUCGGAAUCAUUGGGCGUAAAGCGCACGUAGGCGGUUCGUUAUGUCGGAUGUGAAAGCCCUUGGCUUAACCGAGGAAGUGCAUCCGAAACUGGCGAGCUAGAGUACUAAAGAGGAUCGCGGAAUUCCCGGUGUAGAGGUGAAAUUCGUAGAUAUCGGGAGGAACACCGGUGGCGAAGGCGGCGAUCUGGGUAGAUACUGACGCUGAGGUGCGAAAGCGUGGGGAGCAAACA